CCUACGGGAGGCUGCAGUGGGGAAUAUUGGACAAUGGGGGCAACCCUGAUCCAGCCAUGCCGCGUGUGUGAAGAAGGCCCUCGGGUUGUAAAGCACUUUCAGUGAGGAAGAACGCCUGGUGGUUAAUACCCAUCAGGAAAGACAUCACUCACAGAAGAAGCACCGGCUAACUCCGUGCCAGCAGCCGCGGUAAUACGGAGGGUGCGAGCGUUAAUCGGAAUUACUGGGCGUAAAGCGCGCGUAGGUGGCUUGAUAAGCCGGUUGUGAAAGCCCCGGGCUCAACCUGGGAACGGCAUCCGGAACUGUCAAGCUAGAGUGCAGGAGAGGAAGGCAGAAUUCCCGGUGUAGCGGUGAAAUGCGUAGAGAUCGGGAGGAAUACCAGUGGCGAAGGCGGCCUUCUGGACUGACACUGACACUGAGGUGCGAAAGCGUGGGUAGCAAACAGGAUUAGAUACCCCUGUAGUC
rnacentral:rRNA from 1 species